AUUGAACGCUGGCGGCAGGCCUAACACAUGCAAGUCGAACGAGUGGCGGACGGGUGAGUAAUGUCUGGGAAACUGCCUGAUGGAGGGGGCUAACUACUGGAAACGGUAGCUAAUACCGCAUACCAUCAGAUGUGCCCAGAUGGGAUUAGCUAGUUGGGGGGGUAACGGCUCACCAAGGCGACGAUCCCUGGCUGGUCUGAGAGGAUGACAAGCCACCCGGUAAGUGAGACACGGUCCAGAAUACUCCGGGAGGGAGCAGUGGGGAUUAUUGCACAAUGGGCGCAAGCCUGGUGCAGCCAUGCGGCGUGUAUGAAGAAGGCCUUCGGGUUGGAAAGUACUUUCAGCGGGGAGGCGUUACCCGCAGAAGAAGCACCGGCUAACUCCGUGCCAGCAGCCGCGGUAAUUC
rnacentral:rRNA from 1 species